rfam:Alkaliphilus metalliredigens QYMF, complete genome.
GCGGAAGUGGCUCAGUGGUAGAGCAUCGCCUUGCCAAGGCGAGGGUCGCGAGUUCAAAUCUCGUCUUCCGCU